rnacentral:rRNA from 1 species
GCAGUCGACGGCAGCACAGGAGAGCUUGCUCUCUGGGUGGCGAGUGGCGGACGGGUGAGGAAUACAUCGGAAUCUACCUUUUCGUGGGGGAUAACGUAGGGAAACUUACGCUAAUACCGCAUACGACCUUCGGGUGAAAGUAGGGGAUCGCAAGACCUUACGCGGAUAGAUGAGCCGAUGUCGGAUUAGCUUGUUGGCGGGGUAAAAGCCCACCAAGGCGACGAUCCGUAGCUGGUCUGAGAGGAUGAUCAGCCACACUGGAACUGAGACACGGUCCAGACUCCUACGGGAGGCAGCAGUGGGGAAUAUUGGACAAUGGGCGCAAGCCUGAUCCAGCCAUACCGCGUGGGUGAAGAAGGCCUUCGGGUUGUAAAGCCCUUUUGUUGGGAAAGAAAUCCUUCAGGCUAAUACCCUGAGGGGAUGACGGUACCCAAAGAAUAAGCACCGGCUAACUUCGUGCCAGCAGCCGCGGUAAUACGAAGGGUGCAAGCGUUACUCGGAAUUACUGGGCGUAAAGCGUGCGUAGGUGGUUAGUUAAGUCUGCUGUGAAAGCCCUGGGCUCAACCUGGGAAUUGCAGUGGAUACUGGCUGACUAGAGUGUGGUAGAGGAUAGUGGAAUU